rnacentral:rRNA from 1 species
GCUCAUUAUAUCAGUUAUAGUUUAUUAGAAAUAUUUUACUACUUGGAUAACCGUAGUAAUUCUAGGGCUAAUACAUGAGUAAAACCUCAACUUCGGAAGAGGUGUGUUUAUUAGUAUGAAAACCAUAUAUCUUCGGAUAUAAUAGUGAGUAAUAAUAACCUUUCAUAUCGUAUGUCGUAAGAUAACGAUAGUUCUUUCAAGUUUCUGCCCUAUCAGCUUUCGAUGGUAGUAUAUGGGACUACCAUGGCAGUAACGGGUAACGAAGAAUUUGGGUUCGAUUUCGGAGAGGGAGCCUGAGAGAUGGCUACCACAUCCAAGGAAGGCAGCAGGCGCGUAAAUUACCCAAUCCUGACAUAGGGAGGUAGUGACAAUAAAUCACAAUGCGGAACUUUUAGUUUUGCAAUUGGAUUGGGAACAAUGG